AUUGAAAAAAUUAGUUUAAUUAAUAGAAAUGAAAAAUUACAAAAAUGUCCCUAGCUAUAUAUUAAUAUAAAAUGUUAUUUUUUAAUAUUAUAUUUAAAUGUAAAAAAAGUUUAUAAAGAGAUCAAAACUAUUAAUAAUUAUUAAAAUUAAUUUUUAAAUAUUAUAAAAAUUAUAAUGUAAUAAAAUGAAUUUAUUUUUAAACAAGGAGUGUGAAAAUGAAACAGAAGCUGUAAAGAGAUAAUCAAAAAGAGAAAAAAAAUAAAAGAAAAGAAGAAAAGAAAAACAAAUAAGAAAACAAAAAUGUCUCUGACCCAGGCCCAAACCCUUUGCUUUGCUUCCAAUUAAAAAAACCCUAGGUUAAGUUCCACCCCCUCCAUUUCGCCCAAAGAGGCUACGAGACCAGUUACAUCCGCCUCUGCCACUCACGUCCCACUCCGCCACUAACUUCUCCAUGGCAGACAUCUCCCUGCUAUUCCUCCUCCUUUCCUCCACUGCACGUGUCUAUGCUACCAUUCUCCUCAACCCGAACCCACCAUUGCUUCCAUGGGGCAUCUACAUUUGACAGUGAGUCGAGGAAGAUGAUGACCGCAUCACCCAUGCACCAAGGUUAAGAAAGUUUUGGUAACCCAUUUUUGCUGUGACGGAGCAAUGAAUCAAGGUAUGGCGUCCCUGCAACCGGAAAAAAGACACACCAGAAAGAAAAUACGUGUGGUGGAUCCAGAUACAAGAAGCUUGUAUCCGGAUACGGUUCCUUCGAAAAAAAUGAAAAACGUGUAUCCGGAUACGCUGUUUAUUGGAACCGGAUACAACAUGUCUUCUGUUUUUGCUGUUUCGUCUUCUUUAUCCCGCUUGCCUCUUCAUCAUCAACCUUCAUCUUCCUCAUCCCCUUCACCACAAACACACAGCUUCAACCUCCAACAACUACUUAAAUCUGUGUAACCAGCACUGGAGUCGGAGUUUUGAACGUUAAUAUUUAAUAUUAUACAGGGUUGCAGAUGAAGUUGGAGUUUUGAAGGAUGGGCAUAUAAGUCUUUUAUUAUAAAUCAGUGCAAAUCCUUCCGUUUUGGCGAGAUGGUGUAAACAGUGUAAUCUACGCAAAUCAUCGCAUUUCCAUCGUCUCAAAUCAGCAUAUGAGAACACGAUUUCAAAAUGAUUCUUCGCUCGCAAAUUCGCUUGAACAGUACAACGUUAUAGUGAAGUGAGAAAUGAGAGAAAAAAAUUAACUUAGACUUGUCAAAAGUGAAGAAAAAAAAUUGGUUUAAACCCUUUUUUGGUCCUUAAGUUAAGUUCUGAUGUUCAAUUUAGUCUCCAUUUUUAAAAAUGUCAAUCUUUAGUCCUUAUGAUAUGAAAAAUGUAUCAAAUCAGUCCUCUUCGUUAACAAAUCACAAGUUUUUCAUUAACUGAUUUGUUGUUCAUAACACCUUCCGUUAACAAAUCACAAAAUAUUUGAUAUAUUUUGUGAUUUAUUGGAUACCUAGGUAUGAAAAUUUGUGAUUUAU
rnacentral:lncRNA from 1 species